rnacentral:rRNA from 1 species
GACGAACGCUGGCGGCGUGCCUAAUACAUGCAAGUAGAACGCUGAAGGAGGAGCUUGCUUCUCUGGAUGAGUUGCGAACGGGUGAGUAACGCGUAGGUAACCUGCCUGGUAGCGGGGGAUAACUCUUGGAAACGCUAGCUAAUACCGCAUAAUAGCAGUUGUUGCAUGACAACUGUUUGAAAGGUGCAAUUGCACUACUACCAGAUGGACCUGCGUUGUAUUAGCUGGUUGGUGGGGUAACGGCUCACCAAGGCGACGAUACAUAGCCGACCUGAGAGGGGGAUCAGCCACACUGGGACUGAGACACGGCCCAGACUCCUACGGGAGGCAGCAGGAGGGAAUCUUCGGCAAUGGACGGAAGUCUGACCGAACAACGCCGCGUGAGUGAAGAAGGUUUUCGGAUCGUAAAGCUCUGUUGUAAGAGAAGAACGAGUGUGAGAGUGGAAAGUUCACACUGUGACGGUAUCUUACCAGAAAGCGACGGCUAACUACGUG